rnacentral:tRNA from 1 species
GGGUCUAUAGCUCAGCGGUAGAGCGUCCGUCUCAUAAGCGGAAGGGUCCGGGUUCGACUCCCGGUAGACUCACGA